CUCCACAGGGUUCUGCGCCCACAUCAUUGGGCUUAUCCAUACCCUGGACCCAGGCCUACAACUACAGACAGAAAAAGGAGACCCAUCUUCUGCCAAUACAACAACAACAACAGCUACGCCACAUCGGGAACAUGUCCUGAAGAGUUCCAUCAGAUUGGCCUCAUCAACUAGCCACUUUCUUCCUGCCUAUCCAUUGGUGAUGCAACUGCCAGAGUCAGAGACAGAGGCAGACCCAGUUCUUGGGCUGGAAGAAGUUGAGUGCAGAGGGGCACAAAGUCUUCAUCAGCAAGGUCAACCUCCAUCUCCCCAAAGCUGCGGCUAAGGCUGAUGGGGGCUUGACAGUGAAAACCUGAGGGCAGAGGACAGACCAAAACUCCUAGGUGGCAACUGUUCCACGCCAUGUCUCUUGGUGGGCGUGGACUGAGGGGGUGGAAAUUCAACCUCAUAGAUGUGGUGUUCCGGCUCCAACUUAUGAACAGUUGGCAAAAAAUCCUCCCAAUCAAACUCUACUGGUGAUGACUUCCCAGCAUUACCUUUCCCACCACUGCCAGGCACUUUCUAUACUGUCCUUUCUAAGGUGCAGAUGGAA
ensembl:lncRNA